GGACUAAAAUAUUCAAAAUGCCCCGAACAGGAAAUUGGCCCUUUCACCGUCCUCGAACUGCACUGACACACGCACACAAUCAGACUUUUUGAUGUGCGAAUCAAACUGCUCACAACUCACACACACAAAAACACCUCAAUUUACUGACUCCAUCAUCAUACCCCCUCUCCCCCAACCCUACAUCUCUCUCUAUGGCGAUCGCAGCGGCUCCGUCGAUUUCCCUUGGACCCACUCAUUGUCAUCUCUGCCAUGCAGAAGGGAUUGGUUGCUCUACGUCAUAUGCAGUCACUAGCAAUAGGAUCAAAUCUCCUUUUGAGAGUCAAAGAUUUUCUGAUUGUUCUGGCAUAAGUUACAGAUGCAGAAGUCCAUUUUUUGGAGCCACACAAUUACAUUGGUUGCCUGUGGGACGUGAAAUUUGCCUUUCAAAAGUUUCGGUUGCUGCAGAUUAUUCAGAUUCAUUUUCUGAUUCAUCUAACUAUGUUCAUAAUCAUGGAUAUCAUCCUCUCGAAGAUCUCAAAGUUCGAAAAAGAAUCCGUGACACUAAGCUCACCCCUGCUGAAAUAGCAAGGACUACUGUUGAGGCUAACAGCAGUGCCUUGUUGAUCUUCCCUUCUACGGUACACUGUGAACCACAUGAACACAUCUCAUGGGCUGAAUUUCAGUAUGUUAUUGAUGAGUAUGGAGAUAUAUUUUUUGAAAUCUUUGAUGCUGAAAACAUCUUGCAAGAUCGUGGAGCAAGUAACCCUGUGAAUGUUUUAAUUGGGAUGGAUAUCACUACAUACGAGAACAGAAGGGUAGCUGCUGCUGAGUAUAACGUUUUAGAAACUGGUGCUAGUGAUGAUAUGCCUUUCAGUGAUGAUUAUUUUGAGGUUGAGGAUAAUGAAAUGUCUGAUAUCCCAGUUGAGUGGGGCAUGCCAAUAGAUACUGCCAGUGGUGUUCAUCCAAUAUAUUUUGCCAAGUGCUUGACAAAGGUUGUUAAUUUGGAGUAUGCUAAAAAGAUGGACCACCCGUCAAAUGGAGUUUCCAUUAUGGGUUGCCUCAGGCCUGUCUUCAUUGAUGAAGAAUUAUAUUUACGGCGACUCUUCAGUGGUGAAGAUAGUGAUGGCUACAACUCAGACUGGAAAGAUGGUGAAGUUUGGGACUUCAGAACCGAAGGUGAUGGAAACUGCACUAGCUCAACUCUCUAUAGGUUGGAGAUCAUGAGAAUAGAGCUAUUCUCCAUAUACGGUAUUCAGGUCAUAAGGAGUUCAAACAGAGCACAAAAGAAAAAUGCUGCAGCUGUCCCACACUGCUCGAGCGACCAGCUCAUCCCUCAGCUUUUGCUCUCUGUUUUAAAUUUUUCUGCACAGUUUUGCUGCCAACUCAAAAUUAUCAUUCCAACGGUUUAAAAACUUAAUUUAAAGCAUUUUAAAACCAUAAAAACAUGGAAAAAGUAUUUAUUUAUUUAUUUAUUUUUUUGAUCGGCAAAAGUUAGUGGUUAGUUGUUAGAUUAGCACAUUGGGAGAGUUGAACUCACACCCUCUCCUUGCAAGUACUAAAGUCUUGCUUCCCAUUCCACUCCUAAGGGUGGAACCCAACAGCUCCCCUUAUGUGAGACUUGAUGGCCAAAGGGCUAGCCACACACGCUACAACCCCUUGGUUUUCUUUAUUUCUUAUUUCCGUAUGUAAAUUCAAAGCUUUUCCAAAUCAAAUGCUUGAAUUCAAUGAAAACAAGUUUCAAAACUUCAGCUUUUCAGUUCUUUCUUCAAAGAUGGUUUUGAAACAAAAUCAUUCAAUUGAAAGGUUAUAAUUAGGUGUUGACGCAUGAAUUUUACCUCAAUUCAAGUUAGGAACAAAUUUAGGGCAAGAAUCCAAGCUUUCCCCUCUUCCCUUUUCUUUUUCUCCUGGCAGAUUUUCACUUUCUUUUCUUGUUUUUUCCUUAAUUUUUCCAUAGAGACACUUAUUUCUAUUUUAUACGUGUCUAUCCUCCAAGUAGGAGGUGGCAUGGCCCUAAUACGGAUGUGUGCCUACUUGUCUCUACUAAUCACACCACAAACUUUGUUAAUCUAGAUCAAUACUAAUUAAGCUAGGUUAGUUUCUAAUUAAUUAACUGAUCACACUCAAUCUUAAUUAAUCAUGCUUAAGGUUAAUUAAUCUUGAUUAAAUCUAUUAAUCAUGCUUAAUUAACACUUAUCCCGAUUAAGUUCACACAUUGCAUAGAAAUGUUAGGCACAUUGGACCAUAUCAAUUAAGCACAUUGAUUGAGGAAAUAUAAUUACAUAUUGCUUUCAUAUGCAAAAAAUUAAAAGUCUUUCUUUCUUGUCUCUAAGUUUCUUUUCAUUUCAUAUCAAAGAGAGAUCUAAGAAUUAUUUUACUCACUUAGCAUGACUAGGCAUGUUGCCCAAAGAACAAAUACUUCUAGGCCACAUCAAAAGAUUAUGCAAGCAUGUUUCCAAGUGUUUCACAUGACAAAAGAAUUCAAUUUAGCUCCAGGCAUUCAAGUAUGAAAAUAUGCAUAUGUCAUGAAAUUACACCUAGGGUGCGAUUAAGUUCACACAUUGCAUAGAAAUGUUAGGCACAUUGGACCAUAUCAAUUAAGCUCAUUGAUUAAGGAAAUAUAAUUACAUAUAGCUUCCAUAUGCAAAAAUGAAAGUCUUUCUUUCUUGUCUCUAAGUUUCUUUUCAUUUCAUAUCAAAGAGAGAUCUAAGAAUUAUUUUAUUCACUUAGCAUGACUAGGCAUGUUGCCCAAAGAACAAAUACUUCUAGGCCACAUCAAAAGAUUAUGAAAGCAUGUUUCCAAGUGUUUCACAUAACAAAAGUAUUCAAUUUAGCUCCAAGCAUUCAAGUACGAAAAUAUGCAUAUGUCAUGCAAUAACACCUAGGGUGUUACAGUUUAGGUGUGGCAGAUGCAUGUCUAAGAGUUGCCGUGAAGUAGAAGGGUAUUGUACCUAAAUGAUGUCUAAGCCAGGCAUGGUUCCUUAUCAAUUCAGUUAGUUUUGUAUCUUUAUGAAAAACUUCAAAGAUAUCUUGUUUAACCAAAAUGCGCAAAAUGUUAUUUGUGUCUCAACAUAGGAAACUAUUCAAAGAUUGGAAUGCUCUUCUUAUGAGAUUCAACCUUGAUAAAUUGUAAUUCUUAUUACUUUUCAUAUUCUUCAGUCAGCGAUUGGUUUGCAAGAUUUCCAGGAGGCCGAGCCUGAUGUUCUUGUACACUCUACUCCAGCAAUUGUAGAGCGCUUUGGUGAGAAGGGCACAAGG